rnacentral:ribozyme from 1 species
GCCGGACACGUCCGGCCCUCUAAUGCAGCCGAAGCUAGUCGCAAGCCUGGAAAAAUGCAGAGCGGAGG